GAUGAACGCUAGCGACAGGCUUAACACAUGCAAGUCGAGGGGUAGCAGGGUAGCAAUACCGCUGACGACCGGCGCACGGGUGAGUAACGCGUAUCCAAUCUACCUGUAACUCGGGGAUAGCCUUUUGAAAGAAAGAUUAAUACCCGGUAAUACUGAGAGUGAGCAUUCAUAUUCAGUUAAAGAUUUAUCGGUUACAGAUGAGGAUGCGUCCCAUUAGAUAGUUGGUAGGUAACGGCCUACCAAGUCUGCGAUGGGUAGGGGUUCUGAGAGGAAGGUCCCCCACAUUGGAACUGAGACACGGUCCAAACUCCUACGGGAGGCAGCAGUGAGGAAUAUUGGUCAAUGGGCGAGAGCCUGAACCAGCCAAGUCGCGUGAAGGAUGACUGCCCUAUGGGUUGUAAACUUCUUUUUUAGGGGAAUAAAGUGAGUCACGUGUGACUUUUUGUAUGUACCCUACGAAUAAGCAUCGGCUAACUCCGUGCCAGCCGCCGCCGUAA
rnacentral:rRNA from 1 species